AAACAACGAGCUCCUUUAAAUAUUCGUAUUACAAAGGUUGUACGAAGGUUGAGACUUGUGGGAUGGGAUGGUUAUAUUCAAAAAAUGAGUGAGGAGGACGAUCGGUUGAAAAGUGGAUGAAGCAUUGAAACUUGAUUGUUUUCAAUAAUUUUUUUUUCUCAAAGCCUUCAGCUUCAGAUGAAUUCAUUCAGAAUUGAGCGUCCCUUUUCUCGGUAUAAGCUAUUUGAAAUAACCGCGACAGCGACACACUACCAGCAUCAAUGCUGGCGUC